CUACUCGAAUCCGAUGCACACACACUAGAUGACCUAACCACUACCUCAACCAAUAAGCCUAGUUUAUGUCUAUUUUUAACUGGAUUGAUAAUAUAUUCAUACCGUUUAAAUACCCAACUGAAAACCAUAAUCAUCGUCCCAGCUUCCCCGCUCCGAGCCGCCCACCCGAUUGUGAACGGACGAAAAACCGAGGGGAAAACAUCGGAGAAAUUAACGAAAACAAAGGAAAGUCGGGAAAAAAAGGAAUAUGAAAGCUAUAUCUGAGGCAAUUCUAGUGAAAGAAUGAAGGAAAAGAUAAAAAGAAAUUAUUGGAUUGAGAGAAGGGGACAAGAUGAAGAUUUGUUCAAGACUGGUGAUGCUUAAGCUCCAGUCUGCACUGCAAGUGCACAAGUUGAUAGGUUCCAACCGGAAAUAAAAUUUUAAAUUCUGAAUUUAGAGGACUGCCGGAGGAGCUGAAACUUGGUCUGAUACAUGUUUCUGAGGAAGGAUCGUCAAUGGUUCGAGUGAAUGAAGCCCAAGGGUUAAUCCAAGGUUUGCUACCCCCACCCUUUUGCGUGAGCAUCAGAACAAAACCAAAAUGUAAAGGAAAAAGCCUUCUCAGGCCUUUGUAUUAUUAGAAAGAGGGGGGGAGGUGGUGUUGAAUCAGUUCAUAUUGGUGCGAAUUGACUGGUUGUGGUUGGAACCGUCUGGUUUGGAGCAGUUCUCCUCAUUUACUGAAAAAAAGGGCUGAAGCAUCUCGGUACUAUACCGGUUCGGUUUGGUAUGUGCUGAACUGAGCGGUUCAGCAUGCCAUGGGUUAAUCAAUAAUGAGCAAUGGCCUUCUUGUUUAUUCUUUUUGUUGGCGAAACCACUCUGCAUUUAUGUCAGGCUCUAUUAUUCAUACAGUCUCAUAUAAUAUUUUGCUUUUAAAGUGCUUCUAAAAGGUGCGGGCAGCAUCCAACCAAGUAUCAUUAUUAUUUUUUUCUUGUGGUGAAUGCAGGAUAGAGUAACAGAGUGCUACUUAUGGCAUUAAAGUGACACUUGGUGGAGCUUUUCUGCUGAGAUAGUAUUGUGAAGGACUGGAGAAACAUGUCAGGACAGUCAAUAUCAUUACUUGCCCAUUUGAAAGCAAAUCAUUUUUGGGGAUUGAUCUUUAUUGUAUUUGGGUUCAUUUCCUUUGUGGGGUUUUCCUAUGCUGCGAUACUGUCCAAGCUUCUUCCACAAUCUGAAAAUAUAUUUUUAUCUGCCAUUCAGGAUGACAGAUACUACUGCCUACUGGUCCCCUUGACACUACCUAUACUUGUCGUGGCAGUGUACUUUCAUUGGCUCAGCAUGAAGCUCUUCAAGCAUGCAUAAAUUUAGUUCCAUCAGUCCCUGUGAUCAAAGACAAUUUUCUUCCAAUCCACAAAAAUCAAGGAGCUUAACAAGGGACUUUUGGGUGCGGUUAGCAGGAACUCAGCCAUAUCUAGUGGGCCAGGAAUUUCUGCUAGAUCCUGACAUGGAGGAACUAAAAAGCGCCACUGCAGUAGCCAUUCCCAACUAAAAUCCCAAAGAUCUGCACAAUGAAGAUUUGUAAAUUGGAUUUUUCAAAUUUGCAUCUGUAAAUUUUUAGCAUUUUUGCCUAGCAAAAUCAGCACAUUUUGCCAGGUAGAUCUUAUGUCACAUUUUGCAAAACCCUAAUGAGAUUCAACCCAGAUGAGCACACUGAUCUGUUGUAUA